AGGCGGGAAACUGACAAACUGUAGCUGCCCAUAAAAUGGCGUCUUCAGCAUAGUUUUUUUUUUAAUCGCGACCAUUUGGCUCCUUUUAAACUCUUUUAGACACAAAUUAAUGACACAAAGUACCAAAACAAGCUAUAGAUACCCCUGGAGUAGCAACCCGUCGAUCAAGUCUCCGUUCUAUGUCAGAGCAGAGGUCCCUGGAGCCUCAGGUUACUGAGAGCAAGACUGGUUUAAGUGAAGGAAACCUCCAUGGUGACAAGGGAGCCACUCCAACACUCAAUGGUGAUGAGGGUAUUGAUUUGAGAAGGAGAGGGAGAGAUCCUCCUAGUUACCACAGGAAGAGAGAAAUGACUAAAGCAAUGUCUCCAUCACAAAUUCAUACAGGGUGUUUUGUCAACAAUGGUUCGAAGAGAUUUCUUUCUGAUAUACUUGUACUUACGUGUACUAAUGCUGUGUAGAAACUUUUAGCUGAUUCUGAUCAAAAUUAGAUUUUUGAUUAAAGAUAUGAAUUUUUUAAUUUGCUCAAAAAUUGAAUCAAAACCUUGUCCUAACAUAACCCAUAUUUUCAUUGGAAAAUGGAGACUUUUAGUCACGGACACAUGUACAGGUUUCGUUUACACUAAAACACAUGAAAAUGUAUACUUAUCAUAUACUUAUCUGGAGACAUUUGAAAAUGAAUACUAUAAGCUGAUACUUCUGUAAAUGAAUGAUAAGCUCAAAUGAAAACGUAGCUGCUGGACUAGUAUAAGCACCUGAAAACAGUAACAGCAAAAACUAUUCGGAUUUAGUGGAGAGGAGUACACGUGGUGUGGUCGCGGAGUCCAGUCAC